rnacentral:rRNA from 1 species
UACUCCUACGGGAGGCAGCAGUGGGGAAUUUUGGACAAUGGGCGAAAGCCUGAUCCAGCAAUGCCGCGUGUGUGAAGAAGGCCUUCGGGUUGUAAAGCACUUUUGUCCGGAAAGAAAUCCUUGGCUCUAAUACAGUCGGGGGAUGACGGUACCGGAAGAAUAAGCACCGGCUAACUACGUGCCAGCAGCCGCGGUAAUACGUAGGGUGCAAGCGUUAAUCGGAAUUACUGGGCGUAAAGCGUGCGCAGGCGGUUUGCUAAGACCGAUGUGAAAUCCCCGGGCUCAACCUGGGAACUGCAUUGGUGACUGGCAGGCUAGAGUAUGGCAGAGGGGGGUAGAAUUCCACGUGUAGCAGUGAAAUGCGUAGAGAUGUGGAGGAAUACCGAUGGCGAAGGCAGCCCCCUGGGCCAAUACUGACGCUCAUGCACGAAAGCGUGGGGAGCAAACAGGAUUAGAUACCCUGGUAGUCCACGCCCUAAACGAUGUCAACUAGUUGUUGGGGAUUCAUUUCCUUAGUAACGUAGCUAACGCGUGAAGUUGACCGCCUGGGGAGUACGGUCGCAAGAUUAAAACUCAAAGGAAUUGACGGC